GAUCUCUCUCUGUAAGGUCCCUUGAAGAGGUGGGGCUUAAAACACUGAUAUCUGAUGUGAUCUGACGUGAAAGUCUGUUAGAGAGAACAAAAGAAACACACACAAUGAUCCUCUAUUCUGUCAUUCUGCUUUCUGCCUUUGCAUGCACAACAUAUGGAAAUGAAAUUAAACCAACCGAAACACAGGUGUUUGCCGAUGAGAGUUCAAGAGUUAAAUUAUCCUGCAGUUAUAAAUCUGCAUAUAAUCUUCACUGGUACCGUCAGUAUCCAGGAUCAGCUCCUCAGAUCAUUGUGCUUAUUGCAGACAGUGCAAAACAAGCUCAGGAGUCUAAUGUAGAUCCAAGAUUCUCUGCCAAAGUCACUAAAGACAGUAAAGAAAACCAUGUGGAUCUGAUCAUCUCCUCUGCUGCUGUAUCAGAUUCUGCUCUGUAUUACUGUGCUCUGAGGCCCACAGUGACAGGAAACACAAGAACACUGUACCAAAACCUCAUUAACAGCAUUGCAUCUACAUCACACAUAUAG